rnacentral:rRNA from 1 species
GACGAACGCUGGCGGCGUGCUUAACACAUGCCAGUCGAACGGAAAGGCCCUUCGGGGUACUCGAGUGGCGAACGGGUGAGUAACACGUGGGUGAUCUGCCCUGCACUUUGGGAUAAGCCUGGGAAACUGGGUCUAAUACCGAAUAGGACCACGCGCUUCAUGGUGUGUGGUGGAAAGCUUUUGCGGUGUGGGAUGGGCCCGCGGCCUAUCAGCUUGUUGGUGGGGUAAUGGCCUACCAAGGCGACGACGGGUAGCCGGCCUGAGAGGGUGACCGGCCACACUGGGACUGAGAUACGGCCCAGACUCCUACGGGAGGCAGCAGUGGGGAAUAUUGCACAAUGGGCGCAAGCCUGAUGCAGCGACGCCGCGUGAGGGAUGACGGCCUUCGGGUUGUAAACCUCUUUCAAUAGGGACGAAGCGCAGGUGACGGUACCUAUAGAAGAAGCACCGGCCAACUACGUG